GCUUGCUUUGCCAGUCCAUAUACUAAAAUUGGAAUGAUACAGAGAAGAUUAGCAUGACCCUGCCCCAGGAUGUUACAUGGAUUUUUGGAGCAUUCUGUCCCUUU